AUACGUAGGGUGCGAGCGUUGUCCGGAAUUACUGGGCGUAAAGAGCUCGUAGGUGGUUUGUCGCGUCGUCUGUGAAAUUCCGGGGCUUAACUCCGGGCGUGCAGGCGAUACGGGCAUAACUUGAGUACUGUAGGGGUGACUGCAAUUCCUGGCGUAGCGGUGAACUGCGCAGAUACCAGGAGGAACACCGGUGGCGAAGGCGGGUCUCUGGGCAGUAACUGACGCUGAGGAGCGAAAGCAUGGGUAGCGAACAGGAUUAGAUACCCUGGUAGUCCAUGCCGUAAACGGUGGGCGCUAGGUGUAGGGGUCUUCCACGACUUCUGUGCCGUAGCUAACGCAUUAAGCGCCCCGCCUGGGGAGUACGGCCGCAAGGCUAAAACUCAAAGGAAUUGACGGGG
rnacentral:rRNA from 1 species